GAUAUGUUAGCACUUAGCAGCAUUCUUUGGUCCAACAAGUCGAGAGAAGCGGGCCGUACGCCACCACGGCAACGGAGAAGAGGACUUUCAGCUGCGGCGGCUGGCCGGCGCGGCGACGGGGAUGGGGGAUGGGCGCACAGGCGGCGCCAACCGUCCGGCGUGGCUGCAGCAGUACGAACUGAUUGGCAAGAUUGGGGAGGGGACCUAUGGCCUCGUCUUCCUCGCGCGCCUUAAGCCGCCCCACCCGGCACCUGGCCGACGCGGCCCCCCUAUCGCCAUAAAGAAGUUUAAGCAGUCAAAGGAGGGGGACGGAGUAUCACCCACCGCAAUUAGAGAGAUCAUGCUCCUGCGCGAGAUCAACCACGAGAAUGUCGUCAAGCUCGUCAAUGUGCACAUCAACCACGCUGACAUGUCCCUAUACCUCGCAUUCGAUUACGCAGAGCACGACCUCUAUGAGAUUAUCAGGCAUCACAGGGAGAAGCUGAGUUCCUCCAUUAACCCAUACACUGUCAAAUCCUUGCUGUGGCAACUGCUCAACGGCCUCAACUAUCUUCACAGUAACUGGAUUAUACAUCGAGAUCUAAAGCCUUCCAACAUACUGGUCAUGGGAGAAGGAGAUGAACAUGGAAUUAUAAAGAUAGCCGAUUUUGGACUUGCUAGGAUAUAUCAAGCUCCACUGAAACCAUUAUGUGAUAAUGGGGUUGUUGUAACUAUCUGGUAUCGUGCUCCUGAGCUGUUACUUGGGGGGAAACACUACACCAGUGCUGUCGAUAUGUGGGCAGUUGGUUGCAUUUUUGCUGAACUGCUUACACUGAAACCUCUAUUCCAAGGUGUGGAAGCAAAAAAUCCUCCGAACCCAUUCCAGCUUGAUCAACUCGACAAGAUUUUUAAGGUCUUAGGCCACCCUACAGUUGAAAAGUGGCCUACCCUUGCCAAUCUUCCAUGGUGGCAAAACGACCACCAACACAUUCAAGGACAUAAGUAUGAGAACCCAGGUUUCCAUAACAUUGUUCAUUUACCACCAAAGAGUCCUGCAUUUGAUCUUCUCUCAAAAAUGCUUGAGUAUGAUCCCCGAAAGCGUAUAACAGCUGCACAAGCUUUGGAGCAUGAGACCUUAGUAACCAGGUUCCCGGAUCGAUGGGAUCGAGGAACGGGAACGUGGUACGCGAUACUUUCGGAUGGACCCACUACCUGGACGAAACGCGCUUUUACCAUCCCAGCCAGGGGAGAAAAUUGUACAGUAUCCUAUUCGUCCAGUAGAUACUACAACAGAUUUUGAAGGAACAACAAGCCUUCAACCAACUCAACCGCCAUCAGGGAACGCUCCUCCUGGAGGUCAAUCUGUAGCAAGACCCAUGCCACGACAAAUGCCGCAGCAACCUAUGGUUGGGGGGAUUCCAAGAGUGGCAGGUGGAGUAACCAUGGCUGCCUUCAACGCUGCCUCACAGGCUGGCAUGGCUGGGCUAAAUCCUGGUAACAUGCCUAUGCAGAGAGGCGCAGGUGGUCAGUCUCAUCCGCACCAGUUGAGAAGGAAGGCGGAUCAAGGGAUGGGGAUGCAGAACCCUGGGUAUCCUCAGCAGAAGAGACGAUUCUGACGCUAUCAAGAUGGAGCCAUCUGCUGUAUAUCAGGUGUUUGAAACACGUUGCCUGUGUAAGCUGCUGUAGUUUUGUUAUCAGCAUCCGAAUGCCAAUGCUGGCACCUGUAAAACACAUUAAUCAGUCGAGAGUCCAGAUACCAGUUGUCCUUAUGGGUUAUGAUCUAAGCUGCUCGAAUUUGGCUGAUUUGGUUUGCAACAGAAAGGUCUUGCUUUUGCUCAUGGCCCAGUGGAAUUAUCCACAUGCGUAGGAAAUUUAGCAUCUAUUUGGCUUGAGAAAAGAUUUUCAUUAAAUUCUAGUGGCAGUAAAUAUUUUUAUGGCCACAAACUACACAGAAUUGAGCAGUUGAGCU